UACUAGAGUAGCACUCGCAUAUCAAUAAGCGGAGGAAAAGAAACUAACAAGGAUUCCCCUAGUAACGGCGAGUGAAGCGGGAAGAGCUCAAAUUUGAAAUCUUAAAGGGUUUCCCUUUACGAAUUGUAGUUUAAAGAAGUGUUUUCUGUUGAGGUUUUGGUAAAAGUUCUUUGGAAUAGGACAUCAUAGAGGGUGAGAAUCCCGUAUUUGACCUUUACUUUCAACUUUGUGAUACACUUUCAAAGAGUCGGAUUGUUUGGGAAUGCAGUCCAAAAUGGGUGGUAAAUUUCAUCUAAAGCUAAAUAUUGGCGAGAGACCGAUAGCGAACAAGUACCGUGAGGGAAAGAUGAAAAGAACUUUGAAAAGAGAGUUAAACAGUACGUGAAAUUGUCAAAAGGGAAGCGUUUGACACCAGUGUUGUUUUUCUGAAAAUCAAUUAAAGAACUGUUUAUGCUAAGCUGUUUAGACUUUAUCAGCUAUCUGUUUAGUUUUGAGCUUUUCUUUAAUGCACUUUUCAGUUAACAAGUCAACAUCAAUUUCUUUUGCUGUAAAAAAGCUUGAGGAAGGUGGCUUGAGAUUCGUCUUAAGUGUUUAUAGCCUCUUGCCUAUGCAGUCGGAGAGAUUGAGGUCUGCAGCGUAGAUCCUUCGGGGCUAAAUGCAUUUGUGCUAAGUUAUAGCAUUUUAUAGACAACUUGUUGACUAUGAUUUGUCUUGUAGCUUACUCGCUUAUGUUAUUUUACCUACGCUUAGGAUGUUGAACUACUGAGACAUAGA
rnacentral:rRNA from 1 species